AACACCGGGGCCCAACGGCAGGGGCUUGGGCAGGAGCAAGGUCCGAGGGCUGCCAGGUCCACGCUGCUUUUAUGAGCUGUAACACUCACCGCGAAGAUCUGCAGCUUCACUCCUGAGCCCAGCGAGACCACGAGCCCACCGGGAGGAACAAACAACUCCAGACGCGCUGCCUUAAGAGCUGUAACACUUGCCGUGAAGGUCUGCAGCUUCACUCCUGAGCCAGCGAGACCACGAACCCACCAGAAGGAAGAAACUCCGAACACAUCUCAACAUCAGAACGGACAGACUCCAGACGCACCACCUUAAGAGCUGUAACACUCACCGCGAGGUUCCGCGGCUUCAUUCUUGAACAAUGAAUCCUCCAAUGUACCUGACUCUCCCUUUGCGAAGAGCAUCUCCGUGGCAGAAAUCUGAAAAUGCCCCUGGGGAGACACAUGCACAAGACAGUUCGUGAGCCACACAUCUCCCCACACCAAGCUCCUCCAUACAAGACCUCGGACUGCAUCACGUAAAUGCUUUUUCAGGGGCAAAAUCUAGAGAAUCUGAAACGAGCUAUCAGCUUCCCAGUUUGCACAAUUCAUCAAGAAAUUAUGCGGGGUCACUGGCACAAAUGAUGAGGCAUCUCCUGGAAGCUUAACUUCUUAUCCAUCCCAUCUCUUGGACAGAUGAUGCCAGUUAAUUACUUUGAAUGGGUCUGUCACACGCAGCCCAACUCAACUGGAGUCCUGAGAAGGUGAACAGACCAGGAUGGAUGGCCAGGGAACUCACCAGAAGUCCCCAGGCAUCAGAACAAGGUCGAAGCAUCCUG
rnacentral:lncRNA from 1 species